GACGAACGCUGGCGGCGUGCUUAACACAUGCCAGUCGAACGGAAAGGCGCUGCUUUUGUGGGGUGCUCGAGUGGCGAACGCGUGAGUGACACGUGAGUAACCCGCCCUUGUAUUUGGGAUAACUUCAGGAAACUGGGGCUAAUACCGGAUAGGAGCUCCUGCUGCAUGGUGGGGGUUGGAAAGUUUCGGCGGUUGGGGAUGGACUCGCGGCUUAUCAGCUUGUUGGUGGGGUAGGCGAUUACCAAGGCUUUGACGGGUAGCCCGCCUGAGAGGGUGGCCGGGCACAUUGGGACUAAGGGACGGCCCAGACGCCUACGGGAGGCAGCAGUGGGGAAUAUUGCGCAAUGGGCGGAAGCCUGAGGCAGCAGCGCCGCGUGCGUGAUGACGUCCUUCUGGUUGUAAACCGCUGUCGCCUGUGACGAAGCGGGAGUGACGGUAAUGGGUAAAGAAGCACCGGCUAACUACGUG
rnacentral:rRNA from 1 species